rnacentral:lncRNA from 1 species
AAGCCUCGCUUUUUUGCUGGUAGACGCACACCAUCACAUCCUACAUAAUAUUUAGCUCUGAGGCGUUUCCAGAUGGGAAGUGCGUUUCUGUAUUUUCAUAGCCGUGUUCUCUACGUGAAUGGACUGGCGUGAAGCUGGGGGCUGACGGCUGGCAGGGCAGAACAACUUCCAGUAAAAGAAGGCACUGAGGUUUAAGUGCUACGUGGGAGCAGUUGCCGAUUUUUGCAAUGGGAGGCUGCAUAGAUUCAAGGACUUCCUUGAGUGCUCCAGGAGCUUGUCAUUCCAGAGACAGAGCAGCCCAGAAGUCCUGGGAUUUACACCUCUAGUAGAAACCCUCAACCAGAGAAGGAUGGAAGUCAAUGGGCAGAGUGCUCGGGAGACCUUUACCUGUUUUACCUGAUUACAUCCUCUGAGGUGGGUUGGGAAGCUCCAUUCUGUAUCACCCUCGCUCAAGGACCUGGACUGAAGGAUUUCUGCUUUCAAGAAGAAAAAAAAAAAUAGAAGACAUGUUUACUAAUACACUGGUAAUUAUUUCUAUUCAUAUUUUAUUGGCCAAAGCGAGUCAUAUGGGUAUACAACAUAAAAUGAGGUGCAGAAUUUCAAUCCUAUCAUUUGCUUGGAAGGUGGAGAGUCAUAUUUGGAGAACAUGAGUUCUAUAAUUGUUGGAUGUAACAGUCUAUACAUGUCCACUAAGUCAAGUUUGCUAAUCGUGUUUAAAUAAUCUAUAUCCUUACUCAUGUAUCUGUUCACUUCUUGCAGUUUUGUCAAUCUUAGUUUUAUAUUUUUGAAGCUAUAUUAUGUGUACAAGUUUUAUAAUCAUUGUACUUUCUCAUGAGUUAAACUUUUUAUCAUUAUGAUAAUGCUUUUUGCCUUAAAGUCUACUUUGUCUAAUAUUAAUAUAGAUAACAUUAAUUUUUGUUAAUAUUUAUAUUUUUCCACUUUUUAAUUUCAACAUUAUAAUACAAAUGUUUUAGGUAUGUUUCUUAUAAACAGUAUGCAGAUUGUUAUCCAAUUCAAUCUUUGAUUUUUAAUUGAACUAUUUAAUUUAUUUACAUUUAAUGUAAUUACUGAUAUAUUUGAAUUUAAAUAUACCGUCUUCUUAAGUGUUUUCAAUUGUCUCACAUGCUCUCUGUUCUCUUUAUCCUCACUUUUUGCCUGCUUUUGGAAAAUAUUGUUUUUGCCUCCAUUGUUUUGGAAGUUACAUAUCUUUUUAGUAGUCUUUUAGAGUUUAUCCUAUAGAUCACAGUAUGGGUCUCUGAGUUAGCAAAGGCUAAUAAUGUUAAUUGGCACUUUCAUUUUCUUCCAUAAUAGUACAAGGACCUUAGAACGUUUCAAUUCAUUUACUUCCUCUCCUGAUUUGUAUGCACUUUUAAUAUUUUUAAUUUUUUAAAUCUUCAGCACUGUGUUACAUUGUUUCAUACGGUAUAAUUCAUUUAGACUUCCUCAAAUGGACCUUCGUGCUGGACCUCAUUUCUUUCUGCAUCUAUAUAACCUAUCAUCCUUAAUCAUCUUCCUUCUGCUUAAAGAACAUCCUUUAGUAUUUGAUGCUGGUAAAGAAUCCUGAAAAUGUCUUAAUUUCACUUUUAUUAUUGAAGGCUAUUUUCACUGGACAUAGAAUUCUAAUGUUGACAGUUAUUUUAUUUCAGCACUUGAAAGACAUUUAAAUUCCACUAAUUUCUAGUUUCCAUUGUUUCUAUCAAGAGGUAAGCUAACAGUCUAUUACAUUUUUUCAAGUAAUGACAGCUGCUUGUAAUUUUUUUUUCCCUUUGUCUUUGGUUUUCAUCUGUCUUAUUGUGAUGUACCUAGGUGUGGCUUUUAAAAAUUUCUCCUGCUUGCAGCUCCCAGGGCUUCUGAGAUUUGUGGCUUGUUGUCUUUAAUCAAUUUUGGGAAUUUUUCAACUAUUUUCUCUUCAAAUAUUGAUGCUGCACCAUUCUCUUUCUCUUCUCCUUCUGAAAUUUUAAUUCUCAUUUUAUCUCCAUAUCUCUUACUCUCUGUAGCAUUGCUAUCCUUUUGUCUCUCCAUGUUUCGUCAUGAUGUUGUCUUCUAACCUACUUUCCAGUUCAUCAAUUUUCCCUACAGCUGUGUAUAAUUUUUUGUUAAACCAAGUAAAGAGUAUCCACUGAGCUCUUUGCUUUUGUUAGUAUAUAUUUUAAAUUCUAAAUUGUUCACUGGUUAUUUUUUACAACUUUUUCAUCCUUUUUUAAAGUUUUCAGUUCUCUGCCAAAUUUGUUGAUACUGUCUUUUAUCUCCGUAUGUGUAGUAAACAUAAUUAAUUUAAAGUCCGUAUCUGAUAAAUCCAUUAACUGGAGUUCUGUGGUAUUGUUUCUAUUGUAGUUGUUUCUACUGGAUCUCAUGUUUUCUUAUUUCUUUAUGGGCCUGGUUAUUCUCUUGUGUGCUAAAAUUGUAUAUGAAAAAUUGUUGGUUGAAGUAAAGUAAAACUUAUUGUGUUAUAUUCCUCCUGAGAGUACAGUCAUCCCUCAGUAUCCACAGCAGGAUUGGUUCCAGGACCUACUGCAGAUACCAAAAUCCAUGCAGAUUUCAUUUCCACAAUCAACCCUGUGGAAUCCAUGGAUAUAAAACGUCGACCCUCCAUAUAUAAGUGAGUUUGGCAUCCUGCAACUACUGUCUUUUAUAUUUAUGUUUGGUUGCAGAUGCAGAAUUCACCAAAGCCUAAUCCAGAGCAAGGCCCUAACUCUUCAAUUCUAUGAAGGCUAAGAGAGCUGAGGAAGCUGUAGAAGAAAAACUGCAAGCUAGCAGGGGUUGGUUUAUGAAGUUUAAGGAAAUAAACCAUUCCGUAACAUAAAAGUGUAAGAUAAAGCAGCAAGUGCUGAUGUAGAAGCUGCAGCAAAUUAUUCAGAAGAUCUAGCUGAGAUCAUGGAUGGCGGUGGUUACACUAAACAACAGAGUUCCAGGGUAGACAAACAGCCUUCUAUUGGAAUAAGAUGCCAUCUAGGACUUUCAUAGCUAGAGAAGAGUGGGCUGACUAUAUUUAUUUUAAAAAUCCAUGUAUAGGCUGGGCGCAGUGGCUCACGCCUGUAAUCCCAGCAGCACUUUAGGAGGCUGAGGCAGGUGGGUCACCUGAGGUCAGGAGUUUGAGACCAGCCUGGCCAACAUGGUGAAACCCUGUCUCUACUAAAACUAAAAAAAUUAGCUGGCAUGGUGGCAGGCACCUGUAAUCCCAGCUACUCAGGAGGCUGAGGCAGGAGAAUUGCUUGAACCUGGGAGGCGGAGGUUGUAGUAAGCCGAGAUCGCGCCAUUGCACUCCAGCCUGGAUGACAAGAGCGAAAUUCUGUCCAAAAAAAAAAAAAAAAUCCAUGUAUAAAUGAGCCAUACAGUUCAAACCCAUGUUGUUCAAGGGUCAACUGUAUUUAUAUUUGCUUUUGCAAGAUACCUGGGGAUGUGAGGACCUGGGAUCACCUUUAUCCAAUUUGAAGAAUUAAGCUAAUUGGAUCUCAGCUGAGGCCCCACAAAAUCUCAUCUACUUCCAUCCAAGUCAUCCUGUCUUUUCUCUUUUUUAAAUUUUUUUGGAGGUGGGGUCUCACUGUGCUGCCCAGGCUGGACAACAUAGGUCCAGUGGCACAAACAUAGGUCACUGCAGCCUUGCACUCUUGGGCUGAAGGGAUCUUCCCAAGUAGCUGGGGCUACAAGCACAUGCCACCAUGCUACCAUGCUGCGCUAAUUUUUUCAUUCAGUCUUAAGAUGAAGACUUUCAGGGUCCUAGCCUGCUAUGGGGAGUUAUAUGUCUACCCUCUCCUUUGGUGAGCACCGGAUUCCAACUUGUGUUUAUGUGGCCACACAAAGCUGCCCAGGUGCUGCUUAGUCUCUUCAGUUCUUUUUUUUUUUUUGAGAGGGAGUCUCACUCUGCACUGUGUCGCCCGUGCUGGAGUGCAGUGGCAUGAUCUCGGCUCACUGCAACGUCUGCCUCAUAGGUUCAAGCUCCUCCGCCUCCUGGGAGCCUGGGUGAUUCUCCUGCCUCAGCCUCCCGAGUAGCUGAGAUUAUAGGCACCCGCCACCACACCCAGCUAAUUUUUCUUUUGUAUUUUAAUAGAGAUGGGGUUUCACCAUGUUGGUCAGGCUGGUCUCAAACCCUAACCUCAAAUGAUCCACCUGCCUUGGCCUCCCAAUGUGCUGGGAUUACAGGUGUGAGCCACCACACCCGGCCAUCUCUCCAGUUCUUUGUUGUCGUUUCCAGAAGCAGCAAAUGUCCCAAGGGGAAAAGAGGCCCAGUUAUUGGGCUUGCCUCCUUGAAUACCCAUCUUUCUCCAGCUCUUCAUUGGUGAUUCUUCAUUAUCUUUUUAAGUCUGAUGUUUUCAAGCACAUUUUAUUUUAAUUUUUUCCCACUUUUCUAAUUGUUCUCAGCAGGACAGUAGGUCUGAAUUUAGUCUGCUAUUACCAGAUGGUAGGAAAUAGACAGGUAUGCUUCAUUUUGUCAUAGUUUGCUUUACUACACUGCAGAUAUUAUAUUUUUUACAAAUUGGAGGUUCGUGGUAACCCUGCAUUGAAGAAGCCUUUAGGUGCCAUUUUUCCAACAGCAUGUGCUCACUUUUUGUUUCUGGGUCAUAUUUUGAUAAUUCUCAUAAUAUCUCAGACUUUUUCAUUAUUAUUAUAUUUGUUAUGGUAAUCUAUGAUCAGUGAUCUUUGAGAUUACUCUUGUAAUCAUUUUGGGGUGCCAUAAACUGUGCUCAUAUAAGAUGGUGAAGUUCAUUGAUAAAUGUUGUGUGUUCUGACUUCUCCACCAAUCAGCCAUUUCCCAUCUUUUACAUUCUUUUCAGUCCUCCUUAUUCCCUGAGACACAACAAUAUUGAAAUUAGACUAAUCAAUAACCCUACAAUGUCCUCUAAGUGUUCAAGUGAAAGCAAGGGUGGCACAUCCCACACUUUAAAUCGAAAGCUAAAAAUGAUUAAGCUCAGUGAGGAAUGCAUGAGGAAAAGCCAAGAGAGGCCAAAAUAGAGGGCUUUUGUGCCAAACAGGUAGCCAAGUUGUGAAUGGAAAGGAAAAGUUCUUGAAGGAAAUUAAAAGCACUACUCCAGUGAACACACAAAUGAUAAGAGAGUAAAACAGCCUUAUUGCUGAUAUGGAGAAAGUUUGAGUGGUCUGGAUAGAAGAUCAAACCAGCAACAACAUUCCUUUAAGUUAAAGCCUAAUCCAGAGCAAGGCCCUAACUCGCUUCAAUUCAAUGAAGGCUGAGAGAGGUAAGGAAGCUACAGAAGAAAAAUUAGAAGCUAGCAGAGGUUGGUUCAUGAAAUUUAAGGACAUAAACCAUUUCCACAACAUAAAGUGCAAGGUGAAGCAGCAAGCGCUCAUGUAGAAGCUGCAGCAAGUUAUCCAGAAAAUCUAGCUAAGAUUAUGGAUGGUGGUGGCUACACUAAACAAUAGAAUUUCAAUGUAGACAAAACAUCUAUCAGAAUAAGAUGCCAUCUAAGACUUUCAUAGCUAAAGAGGAGAAAGCAAUGCCUGGCUUCAACGCUUCAAGGGACAGGCUGACUGUCUUAUUAGGGGCUAAUGCAACUGGUGGCUUUAAGCUGAAGCCAAUUGCUCAUUUUCCAUACAGAAAAUCUUUGGACCCUUACAAAUUAUGCUAAACCCAGGCCAGACACAGUGGCUCAUGCCUGUAAUUCUAGCACUUUGGGAGGUCGAGGCAGGCAGAUCACUUGAGCUCAGGAGUUCGAGACUGGCCUGGGCAACAGGGUGAAACCCCAUCUCUACAAAAAAAUACAAAAACUAGCCAGGUGUGGUGAAGUGUGCCUGCAGUCCCAGCUACUCAGGAGGGUGAGGCAGGAGAAUUUCUUGAGCCUGGAGGCUGAGGUUGCCGUGAGUCAAGAUCACGCCAUUGCACUCCAGCCUGGGUGACAGGAGUGAAACCCUGUCUCAAAACAAAGAAUUGUGCUAAAUCUAUUCUGCCUGUGCUCUAUAAAUGAAAUAACAAAGCCUGAAUGACAGCACAUCUGUUUAUGGCAUGUUUACUGAAUAUUUUAAGCCUACCGUUGAGACUUACUCCUCCAGGGAAAAAAAGGGAUUCCUUUCAAAAUAUUACUUCUUGUUGGCAAAUGCAUCUAGUAACUCAAAAGCUCUGACAGAGAUGUACAAGGAGAGUAAUAUUUUCAUGCUUUUAACACAACAUCCAUUCUGCAGUCCAUGGAUCAAGAAGUCAUUUCAACUUUCAAGUCCUAUUACUUAAGAAAUGCAUUUUUUAAGGCUAUAGUUGUCAUAGAUAGUGAUUUCUCUGAUGGAUCUGGGCAAAAUCAAUUGAAAACCCUCUGCAAAGAAUUUACCAUUUUAGAUGCCCUUAAGUACAUUCACGAUUCAUGGGAGGAGGUCAGAAUAUCAACAUUAGCAGGAGUUUGGAAGAAGUUGAUUCUAACCCUCACGGAUGACUUAGAGGAGUUCAAGACUUCACUAGAGGAAGUCACUGCGGAGGUGCUGGAAACAGAAAACUAGAAUUAGAAGUGGAGCCUGAAAAUGUGCCUGAAUUGCUUCAAUCUUGUAACGGUUAAUACUGAGUGUUCACUUGAUUGGAUUGAAGGAUGCAAAGUAUUGUUCCUGGGUGUGUCUGUGUGAGCUUCCCUAGUUUUGAGGUUUUGGGACUUGGACUGGUUUCCUUGCUCCUCAGGUUGCAGAUGGCCUAUUGUGGCACUUCGCCUUGUGAUCAUGUGAGUCAGUACUCCUUAAUAAACUCCCGUUCAUUUAUACAUCUAUCCUAUAAGUUCUGCCUCUCUAGAGAACCCUAAUACAAAUUUCAUGAUAAAACUUGAACGAAAGAGGAGCUGCUUCUUAUGGAUGAGCAAAGAAAGUGAUUUCUUGAGAUGGACUCUACUCCUAGUAGAGAUGCUGUGAACAUUGUUGAAAUGACAAUAAAGGAUUUAGAAUAUUCCGUAAACUUAGUUAAUACAGAAGCAGCAGCAUUUGAGAGGACUGACUCCACUUUUGAAAGAAGUUCUACUGUUAUUAAAUGCUACCAAAUAUGGUACAGAGAAAUAUUUUGUGAAAGGAAGAGUCCAUUGACAUGGCAAGCUUCAUUACUGUCAUAUUUUAAUAACUUGCCACAGCUACCUCAAACUUCAGCAACCACCAGUCUGAUCAGUCAGUAACCAUCAAUAUCGAGGCAAGACCUUCCACCAGGAAAAAGAUUAUAACUCACUGAAGGCUCAGACGAUCAUUACUAUUUUUUUAGCAGCAAAGUAUUUUUAAUUGAGGUAUGUACAUUUUUAGACAUAAUGCUCUUGCACACUUACUAGACUACAGCAUACUGUCAACAUAACUUUUAUAGGCACUGGGAACCAAAAAUUUGUAUGAUUCACUUUGUUGCAAUACUUGCCUUACUGCGGCAGUCUGGAACCAAACCCACAAUAUCUCCAAGGUCCACCUGCAAAUGCAGGCAGUGGGCCAGGUAUACAUGCAUACAUAUGCCUUAUGUGAGGGGUGGGCACUGAGGUUAACUAGAAAGCAUGAGCCUAUUUUUGCCUUGUGGUAAUAAGGGCCUCAUAUUGCCAAAUUUUUCCAUUUUUUUCAAAAGAAGUAGGAAAGGAAAUGCAGGCUUUUAAAAUGUGAAAUCCCAAUUUUCAAUUGUUGGUUCAAAAAAAACUUAAAUCUCAACUAGCCAAAUAAAAUGCAUCUGGGGUCCACACCCAGCUACCCUAUAGGAUACUAAUUUAAAAUAUCUGGACUAUAGUCUAUAUUGAUGAGAGAAGUGGGGUGAAACUUGGCAUUCCCUUGCCAUUAACUUCUAGCCUCCCAGUAGUCCAGGCUGCCUUGAAUAAACACCAGACCAUCAUACAAAACAGAGUUUUUAUCUUAUUUAUUUAUUUAUGAGUUGGGUGUCUUGCUGCAUUACUCAGGAUGGAGUGCAGUGGCACAAUCAUAGUUCACUGAGGCCACGAACUGCUGUGCUCAAGUGAUCCUCUCACCUCAGCCUCCUGAGUAGCUGGGACUACAGGUGUAUGCCACCACAUAAGGCUAAUUUUAAUUUGUUUUUGAGAGACAGAGUCUUGCUAUGUUGCCCAGGCUGGUCUUAAACUCCUGGCCUCAAGCAAUCUUUCCACCUUGGCCUCUGAAAGUACUAGGAUUAUAGAAGUGAGCCGCUAUGCUUGACCAAAACACAGUUUUUAAAUCAAUUUAUGUCUUUACUGAAAUCUCUUAAAGAUGCCAAAGGGUGGGGUUUGGGUUCCAUUCAUAACACCAACAUUUCUGAAGAAUCCUCUUCUCUUGUCUCUUUCUCAAGUCCUCCUCAUGACAUCUGUGUUAGUCCGUUCUCACACUGCUAUGAAGGACUGCCUGAGACUGGGUAAUUUAUAAAAGAAAGAGGUUUUAAUUGACUCACAGUUCCACAGGGGUGGGAAGGCCUCAGGCGGAAGGGGAAGCAACCACAUCCUUCUUCACAUAGCGGCAGGAAGGAGAAGUGCCAAGCAAAGGGGAAAAGCCUUUCAUAAACCCAUCAGGUCUCAUGAGAACUCAAGAAGAGCAUGGGGAUAUGUGGAGGAAAAGUUAAAUCUUAAAUUUGAACUCAAUUGAAUGUGGACACAAACAAUGGUCACCAAGUCCCAGAACAGGUUGCAUGAGCCCCUUGAGGCGUUCAUCCAGACGGUUUUGGAGAAAUCUGUUCCUGUAUGUUAGUUAUUGAAAAACAACAAACAAUCAUAAAAACAAGUUGACCUUUUUGUGUUCCUUGAGUCCAGUCAUGAAGGGCCCUCGUGACUGGGCCUCAUGCCAAAUAAGUCGUUACAAAAAGAACUAGGGUCCCAUACCACGCCAAAGCUUCAUGAGACCUCUCCUCAUCUGUGCAUGGAUGAGCGGUCAACUCUGGAGCCCAGGCUGUUGCUUCCCUGUCUGGUGAUGAAUCCUCUAUAGUCUGGUAAGUGUAGUGGCCGACUCUGGAGCCCAGGCUGUUGCUUCUGGUCUGGUGAUGAAUCCUCCAUCGUCUGGUGAGUGUGUGUGUAUAUAUAUAUAGUCUAUAUUGAUGGGAGAAGUGGGGUGAAAGUUGGCAUGCCCUUGCCAUUAACUUCUAGCCUCCCAGUAGUCCAGGCUAUAUAUAUAUAUCUUCUCCCUUUUCCCCUUCCCAUUGCAAUUUGCUUGUAUCAUUUGCUUAUUAUAUCUGCAUUGCCAUUUACAUGGGAUAAAGGUUGUUUACCCUUGAAGGUAUUGCAUGUGUGUCUUUUCUUUUCCCUUUGUGCAUCUCCCUCAUAGAAAAGAGUAACCGCCCCCAUGAUUCAAUUGCCUACCACUGGGUCCCUCCCACAACACGUGGGGAUUAUAGGAACUACAAUUCAAGAUGAGAUUUGGGUGGGGACACAGCCAAACCAUAUCAACAGCCCAGCAGCUACUUCAGUCCUCCUUAAUUUAUCUCUUGAAUUCUCCCAAACCCAGCUCAUCCCUGGCUUGUUUCUCUUAUUCUUUCUCUCGCCUUCUGAUCCAUUCUGCUUUCGUUAGUAUGUAACUCCCUGCCUUCUCUUAGGUAGACCCAUCAACCCAUCCUACCCAUGGUACUGCACAAUUCAGAAUCCUUUCCCAAAUUUUCCCUUAUUAUGCACAAGAAAUACUCCAGGGCCAGGUGCAAUGGCUCACGCCUGUAAUCCCAGAACUUUGGAAGGCUGAGGCAGGAGGAUCGCUUGAGCCCAAGAGUUCAAGGCUGUAGUUAGUGAUGUUGGUGCCACUGCACUCCAGCCUAGGCAACACAACAAGACACUAUCUCAAUUAAAAGAAAAAAAAAGAAAAAAGAAAAAGAAAUACUCCAGAACUUGGCUAGUGAAGACUAAUUCCUCCUUCACAGGAAGGAAGUGGGGGCAGGGGAAAAUGAUGCUGUAAAUACUCUAAAAUAUGUAUUUUUUCCUGUCCCAUCAGCUAUGCCAUCUGGGAUGGGGUGACGCCUGGAUGAGAUGUCAUUUUAAAGGACAUUUCUGGGACAUGCUGGCAUCAAGCUAUGAAAAGAAAACAUUUGGAAGAUCACUGAUUCCUUCAUGGAGAGGCUGGCUUGGGAAUAGAUGACGUGUCAAAGAUUGACAUCAACCUUGAGUGCUUAUUUGUGGACUUGAGAUACAGAUAAAAAAAAAAAAAAAAAAACCUCCCUAGAGUGAGGGCUACUUGGGAUACAUGCUAUAUCCCAAGGAGUUCUCAGUUUGAGGUCAGCCCCAGCUCUACAACUCACCAGGAGAGUGCGCGAGGAUGAGGGAGAGACAGCCUGCUCUGGUUCUCUUCAAGGUGACAAUGACACCUGUUGACAGAUGAGAAUUCCAGCCAGGAAUACAGAUUUAGGAAUCAUGUUUCUCACUCUCAUGAUGACAUAGAAGAGAUGCGUCUGAAUCUUUCUGCCAGUGUGUUAAAGUUAUUCUGAUAUUGACUGUAGUUCUGAGCUUUGUCUCUAUCCCACCAAACCACUAACUUCUGGAAAUUACUUGUAGACCAAGAUGGGAGGACUCCGUGUGUGGCUCCCUCUCUUCAUGUGACAAAGAAACUUCCUAAAAUACUAAAAGCUAAAGGAGAUUGUUAUCUAAGCUUGAGAUGGAAGGUUGCCAGCGGAAACUUGGAGGAUCACAGCCAGUCGCCUGGGAUUGACCACAGGGAGUGGCAGAGGCAGAAAGCAAAAGACCAGUUGCAAUUAUCCAGAAUCCUGAAUUGAGCCUGUGUUCCCAGUUCCUAGAAACCCUCAAGGUUAUUGGUUUCCUCCUCGCUUAAUAGACCAGUGGAAGAAAUCUACCUCCAGUUCUAUCUUCACAUGAGCAACUGUUUACAGUUUACAAUAUUACUCUGAAAAUCAGUUCUUUUCAAGUUUUAUCUAACACCCACCAGAAGAAACAGAAGAUUAUGAAAAUGGAAUUUGUCAAAGUUCCUCUCCCAACAAUAUGAUAUUUAAUUUUGCUAACAUUUUUUUUUGAACACUUACUAUAUUGCAGACAAUGGUCUAAGUAAAGCAUUUUAUGUGCAUCCUAUCAUGUCAUCAUCACACAGCCCUGUGAGGUAGAUACUAUUAUUAUUAACCACAUUUCACAUUCAAAAAAACUGAGGCUUAGAGAGACUAAGUAAAUUGUCCAAGGUCACACAGCCAUGAAGUGGCAGAGCUGUGGUUAAAACCUAUGUCUGUCUGAUGUUUAAGAUUUUGCUGUUAGCAUUACUUUGAAAUGACAAUAUGAGGGCAUUUUAUGUAUUUUUUUUGCCCCAAUAUGAUCUGCAGAAACUAUGUAUUUUAAGUACUACAUUUCUUUUAUUUACCAAAUUAUUGUCAGAUAAGAAACCGAAAUAAAAGUUUACAGGGUCUAGGAUUCCUCCAUAAUGAAUGAACUUUGGGGUAUUUCAGUGACAAAUUGGCUUUAACGCGAUCAAAUUCCAUCCUACAAUGAAAGUGUGUUAGUUUGUGGUUUCAAGUUUAAAAACAGCACUGUAUUGUCUUCCAGAAAUAUAUAAAUAGAAAUUCAAGAAGUAUUUCAAUGAAUACAGAUAAAAUUAGUUUUGUUAGAACAUCAAAUAUGUGGGUUUCAUUUCUUAGCUCAGUUUAGAAACUGUAAUUUCAAUUUUUUUUAGCAGCUGUGGUAAAUUUUGAGAUUUGAAAUUUCAUAUAAUAUAAAUCCUCAUUUAUUGAGCAUUUAAAUUAUAUGCCCAACAAUUUACUGUGUACAUUACUUCACUUGUUCUUAACUAUAACUCUACAAAAUAUUAUUGUCCUUGAUUUAUAGAUGAAGAUAUUGAGACUCAGUUAAGUAACUUGCUUGAAAUUCAAAAACGUUAACUGUGGAAGGCAGUAUUUGAACCCAGUGUUCAAAACCCCAUGCUCUUUUUAUUAUAUGACCUUAUUUCCUAUUCAGUCUUCAGAAGAUAUAUUGUCUUAUUAGAUUAUUCUCGUUCUCUAAAUAAGUGACCUUGGGCAACUAUCUUUUUCCCUGGUAUUUUCCCCUGCCUUUAAAACAAUGUGAUCAAACUGGAAGUUUUUCACGAUCUCUCUUAGCCCUAAAGCUCCUUGGUUCUGUAAUUCCACCAAUAGCCCAUUUCAAAAAUAAUUCUACAGUAAUCAGUGGGACUCCUGUUUUUCCCAUCUUUUUUUUUUUUGAAACAGAAAAUUGAAACUUUUAAAUUAGUUUAGUAAAUACAUCUACUAGUUUUUUUCUUUUAUAGUCAUGGUUAUAUUAUUUGGUCCUUCUUAGUUGCAACAUGUUUCCUUGCUGUCAAUUUAUAAUACCUCUCAUCAACAAUAGCCUGAAGAAAUAGAUUUGAAUUGCUUUCCCUAAUUUAUAGCUGGAAAACUAGGCUACGCUGGUAUCUUAAAUUGACUUUCCUGAGGUCACGGGCACUCAGUGCCAAGAGGAGUUGGUACCUACGCAUUUGAAAUUUCUGGAUUUCUGGUCUUACUCUGUACUUAGUCACUCUUUUCUUUCAUUUGGCCCUAUGGUGGGCAAACUACAGCCUACAGGCCAAUUCCAGCCUACCAUCUGUUUUUGUAUGGUCCAUGAACUAAGAAUGGUUAUCACAUUUUAAAAUGGUGGGAAAAAAAGACUAUUUUGUGACAUAAAAAUUAUAUGAAAUCCAAAUUUCAGUGUCUAUAAAUUUUGUUGGAAUAUAGUUACCACACUCAUUCUUUUAUGCACUGUUUUUGGCUGGUUUUCUGCCUCAACAGCAGAGUUGAGUAGGUGCAACCAAGACUGUAUGGCCUACAAAGCCUAAAAGUUUGUUAUAGAAAAGUUUGCUGACCAACUCUAUUGGUUGCUUAGUAUUGCUAGGCACUCUGCAAGUCACAGGGAACACAGCAAACUAGACACAUGACUGCCUUGGGCUUAAGAAGAGGUUUCUAAACUUUUGAAUAAAAAACAAAACAAACAACAAACAAAGUUGGAGGGACAUAAAACUUCCAAAUAUUAAUUUUGCCAGUGGGGUUUGUUUGUUUUUUUGUUUGAGAUGGAGUCUUGCUCUGUCACCCAGGCUGGAGUGCAAUGGCGCGAUCUCGGCUCACUGCAACCUCUGCUUCCUGGGUUCGAGCAAUUUUCUUGUCUCAGCUUCCAGAGUAGCUGGGAUUACAGGCACCCGCCACCACGCUUGGCUAAUUUUUUUGUAUUUUUAGCAGAGACGGGUCUGGUCUCGAACUCCCGACCUCAGGUGAUUCGCCCAGCUCCUGGGCGUGAGCCCCAGUGGGUAUUUCUUAAAAACACAGCUACUAUUUUCACUCAUCAUUUUAUUUAAAAAAGGAGUAUGUUAAUACAAAAAAGUAUAUUAAUGCCAAAUUUGUAGGAAGAACAUAAUCUCAAAAAGCA